CUAUGAGGAGGUGAGGGGUCCCAGCCACACACUCUUGUCAUCAUAAAGCUGUCUACUGUGAUACCUUAUCCUCCACAGCAGACAAUAUGCUCUCAAACGGUGAGCUCAGGUAGCUCCUGACUGCCAUCAUGCAGCCCACUAAGACCUAUGAGCUUUCUCCCCCAAUCUUGCCCCAUUUAUUAAAGAUAGUACUUUCUCAUUACAAGUCAA